UAGGGAAUAUUGCGCAAUGGGCGAAAGCCUGACGCAGCCAUGCCGCGUGGAUGAUGAAGGCCUUCGGGUCGUAAAGUCCUUUUCUGAGGGAAGAACUGCCGGGGGAGGAAAUGCCCUUGGCUUGACGGUACCUCAGGAAUAAGCAACGGCCAACUCCGUGCCAGCAGCCGCGGUAAUACGGAGGUUGCAAGCGUUGUUCGGAAUGACUGGGCGUAAAGGGAGCGCAGGCGGCCAAGUCAGUCUGAAGUGAAAGCCCGGGGCUUAACCCCGGAAUAGCUUUGGAUACUGCCUGGCUUGAGUGUGCGAUAGGAAAGCGGAAUUCCAGGUGUAGCGGUGAAAUGCGUAGAUAUCUGGAGGAACACCGGUGGCGAAAGCGGCUUUCUGGCGCAUAACUGGCGCUGAGGCUCGAAAGCGUGGGGAGCGAACGGG
rnacentral:rRNA from 1 species